GAUGAACGCUGGCGGCGUGCCUAAUACAUGCAAGUCGAGCGAACAGAUGAGGAGCUUGCUCCUCUGACGUUAGCGGCGGACGGGUGAGUAACAUGUGGAUAACCCACCUUUCAUACUGGGAUAACUUCGGGAAACCGGAGCUAAUACCGGAUAAUAUAUUGAACCGUAUGGUUCAAUAGUGAAAGACGGUUUUGCUGUCACUUAUAGAUCGAUCCGCGCCGCAUUAGCUAGUUGGUAAGGUAACGGGUUACCAAGUCAACGAUGCGUAGCCGACCUGAGGGAGUGAUCGACCACCCGGGAGCGGGUACACGGUCAAGGGGCCUACGGGAGGCCGCAGUAUGCGAUGGGCCGCAGUAGGCGAAAGCCUUACGGAGCGGCGGCGCGUGAGUGAUGAAGGUCGUGGGAGCGUAAAAACCUGUUAUGAGGGAUGAACAAAUGUGUAAGGGACUAUACAGGUCUUGACGGUACCUAAACAAGAAGCCACGGCUAACUACGUG
rnacentral:rRNA from 1 species